rnacentral:rRNA from 1 species
UACGGGGGGGGCAAGCGUUGUUCGGAAUUACUGGGCGUAAAGGGCUCGUAGGUGGCCAACUAAGUCAGACGUGAAAUCCCUCGGCUUAACCGGGGAACUGCGUCUGAUACUGGAUGGCUUGAGGUUGGGAGAGGGAUGCGGAAUUCCAGGUGUAGCGGUGAAAUGCGUAGAUAUCUGGAGGAACACCGGUGGCGAAGGCGGCAUCCUGGACCGGCAUUGACGCUGAGGCGCGAAAGCCAGGGGAGCAAACGGG